GAUGAACGCUGGCGGCGUGCUUAACACAUGCGAGUCGAACGGAAAGGCUCCUGCUUGCAGGGGUACUCGAGUGGCGAACGGGUGAGUAACACGUGGGUGAUCUGCCCUGCACUUCGGGAUAAGCCUGGGAAACUGGGUCUAAUACCGGAUAGGACGAUGGUUUGGAUGCCAUUGUGGAAAGUUUUUUCGGUGUGGGAUGAGCUCGCGGCCUAUCAGCUUGUUGGUGGGGUAAUGGCCUACCAAGGCGUCGACGGGUAGCCGGCCUGAGAGGGUGUACGGCCACAUUGGGACUGAGAUACGGCCCAGACUCCUACGGGAGGCAGCAGUGGGGAAUAUUGCACAAUGGGCGCAAGCCUGAUGCAGCGACGCCGCGUGGGGGAUGACGGCCUUCGGGUUGUAAACUCCUUUCGCUAGGGACGAAGCGCAAGUGACGGUACCUGGAGAAGAAGCACCGGCUAACUACGUG
rnacentral:rRNA from 1 species